AGACAACAGAAGAAAACCUGAAGAAAGAGAUUAAAAAUUCAGGAAACACUGUUCUGGUAUACAACGAUGUAUCAGAAUCACCUGUUCAGAAAGAGUUCUCGAGCAUACUGACCCCCUCAGAGCUUGCUGACCAACAGAAGCUGCAGACCCUGGACAUGGUCUACCACCGGAUACCACUGCAGUAUGACACAGCCCUGGAGGAGAAGGACUUUGAUGACCUGAUGUCCGUUGUGUGUGAGUAUGGCUAUGACUGUGAUCCAAGUGCCAACACCGCCUUUGUGUUCUUCUGUCGGACUGGCAAAAGUCGUACUACCACUGCCAUGGCAAUAGCUGGACUUAUCUUCUGUCACA